AUACGUAGGUGGCAAGCGUUGUCCGGAAUUAUUGGGCGUAAAGCGCGCGCAGGCGGUCUCUUAAGUCUGAUGUGAAAGCCCACGGCUCAACCGUGGAGGGUCAUUGGAAACUGGGAGACUUGAGUGCAGAAGAGGAGAGCGGAAUUCCACGUGUAGCGGUGAAAUGCGUAGAGAUGUGGAGGAACACCAGUGGCGAAGGCGGCUCUCUGGUCUGUAACUGACGCUGAGGCGCGAAAGCGUGGGGAGCGAACAGGAUUAGAUACCCUGGUAGUCCACGCCGUAAACGAUGAGUGCUAAGUGUUAGAGGGUUUCCACCCUUUAGUGCUGCAGCUAACGCAUUAAGCACUCCGCCUGGGGAGUACGGCCGCAAGGCUGAA
rnacentral:rRNA from 1 species